rnacentral:rRNA from 1 species
GAUGAACGCUGGCGGCGUGCCUAAUACAUGCAAGUCGAGCGAACGGACGAGAAGCUUGCUUCUCUGAUGUUAGCGGCGGACGGGUGAGUAGCACGUGGAUAACCUACCUAUAAGACUGGGAUAACUUCGGGAAACCGGAGCCAAUACCGGAUAAUAUUUUGAACCGCAUGGUUCAAAAGUGAAAGACGGUCUUGCUGUCACUUAUAGAUGGAUCCGCGCUGCAUUAGCUAGUUGGUAAGGUAACGGCUUACCAAGGCAACGAUGCAUAGCCGACCUGAGAGGGUGAUCGGCCACACUGGAACUGAGACACGGUCCAGACUCCUACGGGAGGCAGCAGUAGGGAAUCUUCCGCAAUGGGCGAAAGCCUGACGGAGCAACGCCGCGUGAGUGAUGAAGGUCUUCGGAUCGUAAAACUCUGUUAUUAGGGAAGAACAUAUGUGUAAGUAACUGUGCACAUCUUGACGGUACCUAAUCAGAAAGCCACGGCUAACUACGUG